ACAGUGGUGGUUUGGUGGUAGAAUUCUCGCCUUCCACGUGGGAGACCUGAGUUUGGAUUCCCAGCCAAUGCA
rnacentral:tRNA from 1 species